GCUGAGUCGCACGAUGGGAAGGGUCGGUUUUUUUUUCUCUUUGGGUUUAAGAGCAAGAGGAGGGCAAGGAAAAAGUGGCAAGGAACGGACUAGGUAUCUAAGUAGGUGUAAGCAACUAUCUAGGACGGUUCCCUCCUCCUGCCCCACUCUUCCCCCUAAACGCCGCCUCACGCCACCGACGUACGAGAGCCGCUGCCGUCCAGGAGGUCGAGCUGGUGUGCACGGACGACGAGCGGCGGCGGCAGUUAACCUACCGGCACCUCAACCCGGGGAAACUUGGACUCGCCAAGGAGAGGAGGUCUCUCAGGUACCCACCUCCGCACAACACCCGAGCGAUGACGACAGUCGAAGGUGGAUACAUUACACGAUGUUGAAACGUAGUAAUGAUGAACGACGUGUGGCCGACUAAGCAGUGUCCAUACGAAGGAGGGACAUCAAACUAUUUUUCCACAUAAGAAAGAUAAACAACAAUGGUAUAUCAUAAUCGUUCAAUAUAAUUAUUAUACACAGAAAUUCUGUUUUCUUUUUCCGAACGUAAAUAAUUGACUUAAACCAGGUAUACACAAUUAACUAUACGUUAUCUCAAAAGUGUACACAACAUCCACUACGUAUAUUGUGACCUCGAAAAAAGUAACAAGAGGAGUUGACUUUUCCGAUCUGUCUUCUCGACAAUGGUUCUUGUAUUUUGAGUGAUUUCACGUACAGACUUAAAUCAUCUGGAAGGUAUCAUUGGUACUUACAUUAAUCUUUCACGUGCGUCCCUAAUUUAUACGUUUAACAUGUAACUACUGGAUACCUUUUAUAGACUUGGGCUUACCUACUUGACUACUAAAUCUUGUCGAGAAUGAUUGGAAAGUUUAAAGUCUUAAAUGCCCUUAGUGAACAGCGUAUACAGUAGAAGAUGUUUUCAUGAGACGUCUGUUGUUUUAUCGAUGACAAUGAAAUCCCGAUGUUUUAUUAGAUAAUCUGAGUAAAACGUCGCUAUUCUUUAUCGUAUAUCGUACAACAUGUCCUUUUUUUUAACACGUUAUCUUAACAUCGCAACGGAAAGUGAAUAUAAUCUGUGACUUUUUGAUGUCAAUAACAGUAUCUUUGUAUCUGACUAACCUUGUAUAGAUCAUCUUAUAUCGGAAGUCCACGUCUUGACUUUGUUGUACGUUGUCAUGCUAACAGAGACUGGUGGGCCUAUUUACAUAUUAUCAGGAAGGUAUCAUUUGUACUUACAUUAAUCUUAAUAAUUUUUUUACUUACAUUAAUCUUUUACGUACGUCCCUAGUUUAUACGUUUAACAUGUAACCACUGGAUACCUUUUAUAGAAUUGAGCUUACCUACUUGACUAAUGACUCUAGUUGAGAAUGAAUGGUAAGUUUAAAGUCUUAAUUACCUUUAGUGAACUUAAAUAUUCCUAAGUGUGUGUAUAGUAGAAGAUCCUUUUUAGAUGUGUGUUAUGUUAUCGAAAAUAAUGAAUUACUGAUGUUUUUAUUAGAUAAUACGAGUAAAAAGUUGCUAUUCUCAACGUAUAUCGUAGAACAUAUAGUAUUUUUAAGACGUUUGUUAUCAUCAACGACAAUGAUUGUGUAACAUAUUAUACACUAGACAAUAUAGGACUUAAGUCCUGGAAAUGCGUAAUCAGGAUUCCUAUCGAACAUAUGUAUUUAAAUAGGAAAAAGUUUGACAUUUAGAUUAUACGUGUUACUAGACGAUUUUUAUGGUAACCUAUAUGUACAGAAAUAUGUAAAACAGUUUGUGAACCGUUCGUACAGGUUUAAAAUUGAUUGACAAUCUGUCUCCUCCCGCUCCUCAACUAAUUUAGAUCUUUCUCCUAUGCCGGUACAAAGUUUGUUAAAAAAUAAUGCGGUUCAUUAUGGACGUAGACCCCCAGCUAAACCAAGAGAAAUACGGUGAACAUUCAGUGUAGGAACCACCAGUAGAAUGAUACGAACAUCUGGUACGACUAGAUAGGAGAACGUCUGUCAGGAUGUACGGAACUAGCUGGACACAUACUGUGUUGAGGUUCUAUCGUGCUAUCAUAAGAAGGAUGAAACGCUGUACUAAGAACAGUUCACAAAAGGAUACCUGUCCUUGUCCUACUACUCUGCGCUGACCAACGACGAGCCCUCCGCCUUAGAAGUUGUGGAUUGGCUAACUCCUCUUCUAGAACACCUCUCACCUGUGUCUUCCGUACCGAAGCUCCAAAACCACCGCGACAUCCUACACUCGACGUCGGUGUCCUGUCCUACUUAUCACACCGGGAUCUCAUCUGGUAGUCUUUGGGAUCUUGAGCCGACGAGCUCUCCGUAUCAAAACCCCAAAGCCACCUAGAUAUCCUCCACUCGACGUCAACGUGUCCUCCUUAUCGAGCCGGGAUCCCGUCUGGUAGUAUUUGGGAUUUUGGACCUGACGAGCUCUCCGUAUACCGAAACUCCAAAGCCAUCUUGACUGCAUUUGGACCUGUAGAGAAAACAUACGUUGCACAGUCCUAAAAAAAUGGUAUAACUACGAGCAUGCACUUGGAAAAAAACUUCACCGGGCAUGCACUUGGAUUGAGAAGGAUGGAAAAAAAUGCACGACUGCGAAGGAACGGAUCAGCAAAAAAUACACGACUGCGAAGGAACGGAUCAGAUUAAUGUAACCUACCCGACAUAUACACUGUUGCACUAUCAAGUUAUACAACCAUA
rnacentral:rRNA from 1 species